GCCUUGGUAGCUCAGAUGGUAGAGCACUGGGCGAACGAUCCAGUUGCCGUGAGUUCAAAUCUCACCCAAGACA